GGGUAGUUUGACUGGGGCGGUCUCCUCCCAAAGAGUAACGGAGGAGCACGAAGGUUGGCUAAGCAUGGUCGGACAUCAUGCGGUUAGUGCAAAGGCAUAAGCCAGCUUGACUGCGAGAGUGACGGCUCGAGCAGGUACGAAAGUAGGUCUUAGUGAUCCGGUGGUUCUGAAUGGAAGGGCCAUCGCUCAACGGAUAAAAGGUACUCCGGGGAUAACAGGCUGAUACCGCCCAAGAGUUCAUAUCGACGGCGGUGUUUGGCACCUCGAUGUCGGCUCAUCACAUCCUGGGGCUGAAGUAGGUCCCAAGGGUAUGGCUGUUCGCCAUUUAAAGUGGUACGCGAGCUGGGUUUAGAACGUCGUGAGACAGUUCGGUCCCUAUCUGCCGUGGGCGUUGGAAGAUUGAAAGGGGCUGCUCCUAGUACGAGAGGACCGGAGUGGACGCACCACUGGUGUUCGGGUUGUCAUGCCAAUGGCAUUGCCCGGUAGCUAAGUGCGGAAGAGAUAACCGCUGAAAGCAUCUAAGCGGGAAACUUGCCUUGAGAUGAGUCUUCCCUGACUCUUUAAGGGUCCUAAAGGAACGUUUAAGACUAAGACGUUGAUAGGCUGGGUGUGUAAGCGUAGCGAUACGUUGAGCUAACCAGUACUAAUGAACCGUGAGGCUUAACCUG
rnacentral:rRNA from 1 species